GAGUCCUGGCUGGUUACAGGAGGUGGCCACUCCAGGAUCCAUAUCUCCCUCUGCUAGGAAUCUGAGCUAGAGUCACCCUCAUAAGAACAACAAAGUCAACUGACCCUUGAGGUUCUCCAGAGACUGAAUCAUGAACCAAGAAGCAUACAUGGGCUGGACCUCACUCUCCCACACUCUGUUCAGAUGCAACAGAUGUACAGCUUGGUGUUCAGAUUUAUUUUAACUAAUAUUAUUAAAUUUUCCUGUUUAUUGAAAGUAAGUAUUUUUUCCUCACAUAAUAUAGCCCAGUUGUAAUUUUGCCUCCCUCUACUCUUCCCAGUUUCCCCCCCUCCCCUAUGUGGCUCCAAUCCUCUGUGUCUCUUAUUUCUUAUUAGAAAACAAAUAGGCUUCUAAGGAAAUAGACUAGACUAGACUAGACUAGACUAGACUAGACUAGACUAGACUAGACUAGACUAGACUAGACUAGAAAGUAAUGAAACCAGUAAAUAAAAGCAAGAGACCAAGAAAAGGAUCAGGAAACAGAGACCCACUUCUUUGCACUCAGGAAACCAUGAACACACUAAACUAGAAGCCAUAAUACAUAAGUUCAGGACCAGGUCUAGGCUAAUUCAGUCCUUCUGAAUGCUGCUUCAUUAUCUGUGAGUUCAUAUGACCUUUGAUCAUGUUGACUUAGAAAGCCUUGCUUUCUUGCUGUCCUCUGUCCUCUCUGGCACUUACACCUUUUCUGCCUCUACUUUAUCAGGGUUCUUUGAACUCUGAGGGGAUGGGUUUUGUGGAAUUAUUCCAUUUAGAACUGAGUGUUCCCAGUCUUUCAUUUUCUGUAUCAUGUUUGGCUGUGUCUCUCUCUCUCUCUCUGUAUUUGUUCCCAUUUGUCGUAGGAGGAAGCUUCUCUGAUGAUGGCAGAACAAGGCACUGAUUAAUGUAUGUUGCAGAACACUAUUAGGAGUCAUAGGUUCAAGUCUCGGUUUGCUCAGAGCAGUGCAGAAGUAAAUCAUCUAAAUAUGAGGACAUUAAACUAUUAGGAUAAACUCUGUGGCUUCCUGAAAUAUUGGGAGUUGAUUCAAUCUCACAAUUUGAAAGACUGAAUGCAGGUAUCUCACAGUUAGGCCAAUUGUGUGAAUGGCUUGCUGAAGAACAAAACAUAAUGAAGGGCAGAGUGUGACAAUGUCAGAAAAUGGCUACCUUGUUUAAGAUUACAACUUGCCUAAUAUUUAAGUACUUUCAUUCAUUGCUUUUGUAUAGAUUAUGUCUGACCAUGAAUAUCCAAGGAUUGUAAGCAUGCAGAGGAUGUAUUUUUUUAAAUCUGUAUUGUCUGUUAUAAAUCCAGUCAAAUAUAUGUUCUGCUUUUAAAUUUUCAUGAGCUGGCAUUAAAAAAUGUGUUCGGGAGUCAAAAUUGAAUGGUGACUGGACAAUAUUUUUCUUGGAAAGUUUUAUAUACACAUGUAAACAAACAGAAUUACAUACAAAGAUAUGUGUAGAUGGUCCCACAAGUAAAAAUAUACCUAUGAAUUUACACACACACACACACACACACACACACACACACACAAGACAUAUACACCCCUUGUCAAUUUUUUAUGUAUAACAUUAACAGCAACCAGACAGAGAGGUUAAAAGAUACUCUGUCUAGCUUAAAAAAAAAAAAAAAAUCAGUAGUCCCGUGAUGUUUUUAAAAAGUAAAUACUUACAUAUUAAAACGUAUAUGUAGAAGUCUUUGGGUGGAACAGUAUCUCUGCUUAGGUUGUGGUUGAUUUAUUUUAAUUUAUUAUUCAGUGAUCAUAUUUCAAAUGUAUGUAUAGUUCAGAACUUAAGUUAUAACAAAGCUAUAGCAUUCUCAGGAAGCACCACCAGGACAACAUUUUAAGCACUUGAAGGGGAAUAAGCUUGAAGUCAUAUCAUAGUUUGUUUUUUAAUGUCUUUCAAAAAGUAACUGGCUUCACAAACACCAACUAUAACGUGAUUUAGACAACUGAGAAGCAGGCAAGUAUAUUUUAAAAUGCUAAAAUAAAACACAUUUAUACAAGUACAAAGCGAAACAAUGCUGAUAAAAAUGUUAAAAUUUAUGAAAAAAAUCAUUUGCAAUUCACAUCAAAAUAAUUUAACAUUCUCUAUUCUUUUAAUAGUACAAGCUGCAACAACAACAAAAAAAAUAACAGAGUGUGCACACAGUUUUAAAACCAAAUCAGUUCUGAGUGCAGGAAAAAUUAAGUACAAGCACUUGUAGCCCACACAAUUAUUUUAGUAUUGGCACCAUCUCUCUAAACAUCUAUAUUCUAUAUAGAUUUCUAAUUACAACAUCACCAGCAGCUGCCAUUGAAUUCUAGAAAGACACACAAUAUACAUAGUAUAUUUGUUCACAUUGGGAAGAUCAGUGAAAUCCAGCCAACUGUUUUAUACAUGCCCCAUUCUUCAAUAGACAUCAGAGAUUCUCCCAGGCCUCAGACCCUCUUCAAAGCAAAUUCUGAAUUAUCUUUAUGCUUUCACUGAUCUGUAUUUUUUCACAGUAUAAAAUUGUAAAUGGUAGCUAUAGAGAUUCUGACAGCUUGAGGGUUAUUAAUAAGCCGUUGCUAAAUGUGAACUCAUAUAAUAACUUUGAAGUCUCCAGACCAUGUACAUUUUGCUGGGAGACUAGCACAGUAUUUUUUUUUUCAUUUUUUUCUUUUUUUUCUUAAAAAGAGUGUUUAAUUCCUGGUUUGGAAGUCACAGACUGCAGCAGAGCCAUUAUACAAUGCAUUUACAGUCAUAAAGAGCUCAGAGUCUUUCUGAUUACUUGCUGGUAUAUCAGUCGUUUGAAAAAAAAAGAAAAAACUAUUACGUUCAAAGAUUAGCACAUUUGGAGAUUUGCUUUGCCUUUCUCCUUUGUGUCUGUUAAUUUUCUUAUGAGUUUCUUCUCUAGAUUCCCUUUCUGUUCCCUAUGUCUAGCCCUAGCCAAACACAGCCUCUCAGACUGACUCCACUCUUCAACAGGAAGGAAACAGUCUGCCAUUUCUACUAGUUGUUUUCAAGUUGGUGGUGUCUACAGAGAAGUUAACUCAUCCUUCUGCUGUGUGGUUGCUUUCCUAACCAAGUUAGACCACUUUUGGACAUGAGCUGGAUUGUAAUGGAGAGAAGAAUGAGAACAGAAAGAAGAGUUAUUAACAGAAGCAGAGAAGACAAUGAAUAAUUCUGCGCUCUAAAAUAUUUCUACAUAUGUGGAAAUGUCACGCCCAUGAUGAUGCCAAACUCAAUAGAAUGCACCAACUGGCAUGCGUGGCUCUCAUCAGUAGAACAAGUUGUUCCUACUCUGUCCAAGGCUCACAGAGCUACAGAAUAAAAAUGGAGAGAGAAGAGGUGGAAGAUAUCUAUGUAUUGACUGGGAAUGGAGAUUGUCGACAUACUGCUAUUUUUUGAAAGCGGUCAUGAGAAGUUUUUUUUUUUUUUUUUUUUUUGACAAGUAUAGUUAUUGAGUGGUUGAUAAAUGAAGUUAUGAAUGGGACGCUGGGGGAAUGUGAAGGCUGAUGAUUCCCUAAGGUUAAGAUUCUGAGAACACAGCAAAGAAGCCUGUUUUUCCUUUCCACUUAAGCUAAAGUGUGAAAACAAGAAGAUAAAGAACAGGUCAGGCAAGACAAUAAAAGCUAUCUGAGGGAGAAAGAGCAGCUCAUGGAGGGUGCCAUAUCGAGAGUUGAAAACAUUUGUGGAUUGUCUUACAGUACCCAUGGAAAGAGCCCUGAAUAUAAUGUGUAGAACCUGCCUGAAUUAAAUGCAUAGACUCUUAUUUGAUCUAUUUUGUUUUUUGGGUUUUUUUUUAAGAGUUUAUUUUUCUCCCAAAGCUUAUUUUUGCCCAUGCUUUUUUAUCAUAGAUUCAUAAUAGAGCACUCCAUUAUAUCACUCAAUUUAUUUGUAUCUAGUUCUAUGGCAUUCAAGAGAUUAAGAUAAACCCAACGAUGUUUUCUUGUUUCUCUGUUUUCUUGGUUUUGUUUGCUUUGAUCUUCGUGUCCUCAGCAUGAGAGAGGGUGAUGUCUA